rnacentral:rRNA from 1 species
UGGGGAAUAUUGGACAAUGGGCGCAAGCCUGAACCAGCCAAGUCGCGUGAAGGAAGAAGGUUCUAUGGAUUGUAAACUUCUUUUGUAAGGGAAUAAAAAGAGUUACGUGUAACUUAUUGUAUGUACUUUACGAAUAAGGAUCGGCUAACUCCGUGCCAGCAGCCGCGGUAAUACGGAGGAUCCAAGCGUUAUCCGGAUUUAUUGGGUUUAAAGGGUGCGUAGGCGGGUUUUUAAGUCAGUGGUGAAGGUUUGCAGCUCAACUGUAAAAUUGCCAUUGAAACUGAAGACCUUGAGUGUAAAUGAGGUAGGCGGAAUGUGUUGUGUAGCGGUGAAAUGCUUAGAUAUAACACAGAACACCAAUUGCGAAGGCAGCUUACUGGGAUACAACUGACGCUGAGGCACGAAAGCGUGGGGAUCAAACA